AUCGGUAUUGCUUUCGGUGUUCAUAUAUUUUUUAUAGUUCAACGCAAGUACUACCGAGCUAAUGGCUGACGUUUGAUACAUUAUAAAAUAUUGAUUAAUUAAUUAAUUAAUUCAUUCAUUCAUUCAUUAUAAAGUUGUACAAUGUAUAACAUUUUUGUUAAAAUAAUUUGUUCGUCACAUUAAUUAGAAUCAUAGUAUUGUGAAAAAUAUCGUAUAAUGGUCGAAAAUAUAAAUUAAAAAAUUCAUCCCUUUCAUCUAAUUAUCAGCCUGAAUGUAAAAUCUCGCUUGGAUACAAUCACAUAUCGAUCAACGAUUUCAUCGAUGCAACGAUAAUUACAAUCAAAUUUCACGACAUCGUUAGACCUACGUCAUCAGGGGGAAGGAGGUGUAGGACGAGUGUUUCGGAGCCAUCGCAGAACUUCUUAAGUAUAACGUCCUCGACUACUUUGAAUUCUUAUCGAGAAAUCAAUGAACGGACACACACGUGCGUGUUACGAUUGACAAGCCAGCUUUCCGAUGGUUAAAAGAAUUCAACGAUGAUGCUAACGUCGACCAAUUAAAAACGAAAGGAUCCGCGAGGAAAGGAAUCCGACUGGAAUGAUUUACGAUCUUGUGUGUUGCUCUCGAGUCAGCCCGAAGGCAUUUCGACCGGCAUGAUCGUCUUCCGAAUCACAAAAUGAUAUAUCCCAUUGCUAAGAGUAUUCGUAUAUAUCCGAUGAACUAGUUAUGCUAUAGAAUUAUAGUUUGAAACUUUCUAUCGAUCUUUUAGAAAUAGAAAUAGAAAAUGCAUCAUCCAUAUAUAUAUAUAUAUAUGUGUGUGUGUGUGUGUGUGUAUCAAAAAAUUAGUACGAAAGCUACUGAUAACAUAAUAUAUAUCUAUAAAUAUA